rnacentral:rRNA from 1 species
UACAGAGGUGGCAAGCGUUGUUCGGAAUUACUGGGCGUAAAGGGCGCGUAGGCGGUUUCGUAAGUCCCGUGUGAAAGCCCCCCGGCUCAACUGGGGAAUUGCACGGGAAACUGCGAGGCUUGAGUUCGGGAGAGGGAAGCGGAAUUCCGGGUGUAGCGGUGAAAUGCGUAGAUAUCAGGAGGAACACCGGUGGCGAAGGCAGCUGCCUGGCCUAGAACUGACGCUGAGGUGCGAAAGCGUGGGGAGCGAACAGG